UACGAAGGGGGCUAGCGUUGCUCUGAAUUACUGGGGGUAAAGCGCACGUAGGCGGUUUGUUAAGCCGGGGGGGAAAUCCUGGAGCUCAACUCCAGAACUGCCUUCGAAACUGGCGAUCUUGAGUCCGGGAGAGGUGAGUGGAACUGCGAGUGUAGAGGUGAAAUUCGUAGAUAUUCGCAAGAACACCAGUGGCGAAGGCGGCUCACUGGCCCGGUACUGACGCUGAGGUGCGAAAGCGUGGGGAGCAAACAGG
rnacentral:rRNA from 1 species